rnacentral:rRNA from 1 species
CUGCGGAUGGAGCUGAGACCAGUCGAAGAUACCAGCUGGCUGCAACUGUUUAUUAAAAACACAGCACUGUGCAAACACGAAAGUGGACGUAUACGGUGUGACGCCUGCCCGGUGCCGGAAGGUUAAUUGAUGGGGUUAUCCGUAAGGAGAAGCUCUUGAUCGAAGCCCCGGUAAACGGCGGCCGUAACUAUAACGGUCCUAAGGUAGCGAAAUUCCUUGUCGGGUAAGUUCCGACCUGCACGAAUGGCGUAAUGAUGGCCAGGCUGUCUCCACCCGAGACUCAGUGAAAUUGAACUCGCUGUGAAGAUGCAGUGUACCCGCGGCAAGACGGAAAGACCCCGUGAACCUUUACUAUAGCUUGACACUGAACAUUGAGCCUUGAUGUGUAGGAUAGGUGGGAGGCUUUGAAGCGUGGACGCCAGUCUGCGUGGAGCCAACCUUGAAAUACCACCCUUUAAUAUUUGAUGUUCUAACGUUGGCCCCUGACCGGGGUUGCGGACAGUGUCUGGUGGGUAGUUUGACUGGGGCGGUCUCCUCCCAAAGCGUAACGGAGGAGCACGAAGGUUAGCUAAUCCUGGUCGGACAUCAGGAGGUUAGUGCAAUGGCAUAAGCUAGCUUGACUGCGAGCGUGACGGCGCGAGCAGGUGCGAAAGCAGGUCAUAGUGAUCCGGUGGUUCUGAAUGGAAGGGCCAUCGCUCAACGGAUAAAAGGUACUCCGGGGAUAACAGGCUGAUACCGCCCAAGAGUUCAUAUCGACGGCGGUGUUUGGCACCUCGAUGUCGGCUCAUCACAUCCUGGGGCUGAAGUAGGUCCCAAGGGUAUGGCUGUUCGCCAUUUAAAGUGGUACGCGAGCUGGGUUUAGAACGUCGUGAGACAGUUCGGUCCCUAUCUGCCGUGGGCGCUGGAGAAUUGAGGGGGGCUGCUCCUAGUACGAGAGGACCGGAGUGGACGCAUCACUGGUGUUCGGGUUGUCAUGCCAAUGGCACUGCCCGGUAGCUAAAUGCGGAAGAGAUAAGUGCUGAAAGCAUCUAAGCACGAAACUUGCCCCGAGAUGAGUUCUCCCUGAGACUUUAAGUCUCCUGAAGGAACGUUGAAGACGACGACGUUGAUAGGCCGGGUGUGUAAGCGCAGCGAUGCGUUGAGCUAACCGGUACUAAUGAACCGUGAGGCUUAACCUU